GCCCGAGUGGCCAGGCCCCCGCCCCUCUGGCUGGGCCCCGGGCCCAGCGUGGGGACACCGGCCAGCUGUCCCGCGCCUCUGCCCCCACCCCGGCCCUCCAGACCCCCCCCAAUACCCCCAGGUCUGGCCAGAGAUGGUCCCUGCCCGAAGCUGGGGAGUUGGGGUGCUGGGCAGGUCUGGGGUCCAGGGCCUGGGGCCAACAUCUGCAGAGGUUGAGGGGCUGUGAGCAGAGUGGCCUGGAAGAUGGAGAAUGAGGGGGAGCCACAACCACAGUUCUGAGCAAGGGAGCUAAAGGACCCCUCCUCCAGCCAGGAGCCCCGCGGCCAUCUCGAGUUCAACAGCCAGACCAUGCAUUGGACUCAGAAACCCAGCAGUCGUCAAUGGCUCUAUGCCCACCUCCCUGCAUAGCUGCGUAGGUUAAAGUCGUGAAGGUAGAACCGCCCACAGAGGGCUGCGUGAUGCAUCUCAGGCUAGGUGAGCCUGGCUUCCCAAUUAUCACCAACAAGCCUCCCCCGCCCACUCACUGCCGAGCAUCCAGUACUGGAUGCGGCUGUCUGCGUGGGACCUGGAACCAGAGAGAGAGAAAGAGACAAGCAUUUGCUUUAGGGCUAGCCUGGGAAAAGCUUGGUGUGCAUCGGACCUGGGACCCAUGCUGUUUUCCCUCCCAGCGCCUGGGGCCCUCUGCUUUCAGUCAUCUCCACCUCCGUAUGGACCCAACUGAGGUUUGGGAAGGAACGGAAUGCUGGUCGGGAGCGUGGGUCCGAGUGUAGACACUUUUGGAGAGAAUCAGCAGCAGGGCCAAGUGAAGGACCCCUUCCCCCGACCCGACCCACCCUCGCUCAUCGGAGAGACCCAGCUGCAGACAUGAAGGCCAGAACCUGCCCCUCUUCUGAUUUCAAAUUUUCCGGUAGCCUCACAAAAUAAAGAAAAUGUAAGUAAAAUUCAUUCUGAUCAUAUGCUAUAUUUAACGGACUAUAUCUAAAAUAUUAUCAUCUGAACCUGUAAUUGAUAUAAAAGUUAUGGAGAUGUUCUACAUUCCUUUUAUUGUACCGAGUCUUAAAACUGGAUGACCCAGCAAUGCCACCUCUGAAUAUUGAUCUGAAGGAAACAAGAAUGCUACUUUGAAAAGACAUCUGGGGGCUCCUGGGUGGCUCAGUCGUUGAGCGUCUGCCUUCGGCUCAGGUCAUGAGCCCAGGGUCCUAGGAUGGAGCCCCGCGUCGGGCUCCCUGCUUGGCAGGGAGUCUGCUUCUCCCUCUCCCACUCCCCCUGCUUGUGUUCCCUCUCUCGCUGUGUCUCUGUCAAAUAAAUAAAUAAAAUCUUUUAAAAAAAGAAAAGACAAGACAUUGCACCCCAUGUUCUUUGCAGCAUUAUUUACAAUCUCUAUGACAGAGAAGCAACCUACCAUAGCCAUCAAUGAGGAAGAGACAAAGAAAAUGUUACACACACACACACACAAUGGAAUGUUAUUCAGUCAUAAAAAAGAAAGGAAUUCCUGCUAUUUGCAAUGACAUGGAUGGACCUUGAG